rnacentral:rRNA from 1 species
AGAUGCGAUCAUACCAGCACUAAUGCAGCGGAUCCAAUCAGAACACCAAAGUUAAGCGUGCUUGGGCUAGAGUAGUACUAGCAUAGGUGACCUCCUUGGAAGUCCUCGUGUUGCAUUCC